rnacentral:rRNA from 1 species
UACGAAGGGGGCUAGCGUUGUUCGGAAUUACUGGGCGUAAAGCGUGCGCAGGCGGCUGCUCAAGUCAGGGGUGAAAGCCCAGAGCUCAACUCUGGAAUUGCCUUUGAGACUGAGUGGCUUGAGUACGGGAGAGGUGAGUGGAAUUCCCAGUGUAGAGGUGAAAUUCGUAGAUAUUCGCAAGAACACCAGUGGCGAAGGCGGCUCACUGGCCCAUUACUGACGCUGAGGCACGAAAGCGUGGGGAGCAAACAGG